rnacentral:rRNA from 1 species
GACGAACGCUGGCGGCGUGCCUAAUACAUGCAAGUCGAACGGUCUUUUCUAUGGAAGCUUGCUUCCACUGAGAAGAUAGUGGCGGACGGGUGAGUAACACGUGGGUAACCUGCCCAUAAGAGGGGGAUAACAUCCGGAAACGGGUGCUAAUACCGCAUAGUUUUCUUGAUCGCAUGAUUGAGAAAGGAAAGACGGCCUUUGUGCUGUCGCUUAUGGAUGGACCCGCGGCGUAUUAGUUAGUUGGUGAGGUAAGGGCUCACCAAGGCGACGAUGCGUAGCUGUGCUGAGAGGCAAAACAGCCACACUGGGGACUGAGACACGGCCCAGACUCCUACGGGAGCAGCAGUAGGGAAUUUUCGGCAAUGGGGGGAACCCUGACCCGAGCAAAUGCCGCGUGAAUGAAGACGAAUCUUCGGAUU